UACGUAGGCAGCGAGCGUUGUUCGGAAUUACUGGGCGUAAAGAGUGUGUAGGCGGUGCUCUAAGUUCGGUGUGAAAUCUCCUGGCUCAACUGGAGGGUGCGCCGGAAACUGGAGUGCUUGAGCGUGGAGAGGAAAGCGGAAUUCCUGGUGUAGCGGUGAAAUGCGUAGAUAUCAGGAGGAACACCUGUGGUGUAGACGGCUUCUGACCAUAGCUGACGCUGAGACACGAAAGCGUGGUAGCAACAGG
rnacentral:rRNA from 1 species